rnacentral:tRNA from 1 species
GCGGGUAUGGCGGAAUUGGCAGACGCAAUAGACUCAGAAUUUAUUGGUAGCGAUACUGUGCAGGUUCAAGUCCUGUUACCCGUACCA